AACCCAUAUUUAAGGAUGGCUUGGAUAAAAUAUACCAAAAUGAAAAAAGGACCAUUAAUCCUAGCAGUACACUCUGUUUAUAGUGAAUAAGCCUCAGGUGCAGCAGUUAAAGGGUUAACUGCUCUGGUGUAGGCGUGAGUUGCUCUAAGCCAAUGAGCUGCUGAGACGUGGUGCAAGGCCCCGCCCGCCAUCUCCGUCUGAGAGAGCACAGGCUUUUCCUUCUCUCUCUCGUGAGCUCUCCAUGAGCACGCUAGCGAGGAAAAAGACACGGCGAUUCACUGAAACGAGGUCGGGAGUUAGAGACGACACCAAUUCAUCAUUCCUGCGCCAUCUCGCGCUGCUCCGCCUUUCUUUUCUGAGAUCGGUCAGGUUUUUUUUGUUUCCCUUUGUAUCUUCCUUUUGAUGCAUUGCAACGGAUCCGGUAAUCGAUGGCGAGCCAACCCCGUUGAUGGACCAAUUGACUUUGUUCUGUGCUGCACAGCAGAGUGUGGUAGGCCAGUUGCAACAAAACAA